rnacentral:rRNA from 1 species
GGUGAGUAACACGUGGGUAACCUGCCUGUAAGACUGGGAUAACUCCGGGAAACCGGGGCUAAUACCGGAUGGUUGUUUGAACCGCAUGGUUCAAACAUAAAAGGUGGCUUCGGCUACCACUUACAGAUGGACCCGCGGCGCAUUAGCUAGUUGGUGAGGUAACGGCUCACCAAGGCAACGAUGCGUAGCCGACCUGAGAGGGUGAUCGGCCACACUGGGACUGAGACACGGCCCAGACUCCUACGGGAGGCAGCAGUAGGGAAUCUUCCGCAAUGGACGAAAGUCUGACGGAGCAACGCCGCGUGAGUGAUGAAGGUUUUCGGAUUGUAAAGCUCUGUUGUUAGGGAAGAACAAGUACCGUUCGAAUAGGGCGGUACCUUGACGGUACCUAACCAGAAAGCCACGGCUAACUACGUGCCAGCAGCCGCGGUAAUACGUAGGUGGCAAGCGUUGUCCGGAAUUAUUGGGCGUAAAGGGCUCGCAGGCGGUUUCUUAAGUCUGAUGUGAAAGCCCCCGGCUCAACCGGGGAGGGUCAUUGGAAACUGGGGAACUUGAGUGCANAAGANGAGAGUGGAAUUCCACGUGUAGCGGUGAAAUGCGUAGAGAUGUGGAGGAACACCAGUGGCGAANGCGACUCUCUGGUCUGUAACUGACGCUGANGAGCNAAAGCGUGGGGAGCGAACAGGAUUANAUACCCUGGUAGUCCACGCC